GCCCAACUUGAUGCAAGCUUAUAAUCCCUGCUAUCAGGGGAGGCCGAGUCUGAGGGAAUCCCUUGACUUUGGGAGUUUUGAGUUAGAGUAGGGUUAAGGCCAAUUAGGUGUCCACACUAUGUUUAGCAACAAUAUGGGGAGCCCUCGGGAGUGGAAGGCCACCAGGCUGACUAAGGAGGGGCAAAUUAGCCCAGGUCAGAAAAAAUGGAGCAGGUUAAGGCUUCUGUACUGACUGGUACUGGGAAUGGGUCUGUAAGUGGACAUUGUCCUUCUGGCCCAGGAGAAACAGGGAGACUCAGUUU
rnacentral:SRP_RNA from 1 species